CCAGUCCUGUCUCUCGGCGCCUCGUAGGUGGGAGCUCGCUGGCUGCUCAAGUGGCCAUUGACGGCGGCAAGCUGGGAGCCGGCGAGCUUGGAGCUGAAACGGAAGCUGAUGAAACCAUGAGUGGCAAGUGGCUGACGAGCUGCAGGGUGUACACGAGGACCACCUCUCCUUGCUUUCCCUUGGUGCCAGGAAACAUGGAUUGUGCUGAUGACCCUGGCAGCAGCAGCAGAAGCAACUGGGGCAAAAUGAUGAGCAAAAUUGUUACUUGUUACUCCUUCCCCAUUCUCUAUGUGUAUGUUCAACACAUCCACUGUAACAACCCUUUUGCCCAUGUAGGUUCAUCGAAUAGAUGCCAAAAAUAAGUUUGUCAGAACAACAGUUAAUUUUUUUUAACCAAACAAUUCAAAAAAUGAGGAAAGAAGUUCAUAUAUAAUA